AAAUCCCAUAAAGUUGUUCUCAGUUCGGAUUGUAGUCUGCAACUCGACUACAUGAAGCUGGAAUCGCUAGUAAUCGUAGAUCAGCAUGCUACGGUGAAUACGUUCCCGGGUCUUGUACACACCGCCCGUCACACCACGAGAGUUUGUAACACCCGAAGCCGGUGGAGUAACCAUUUUGGAGCUAGCCGUCGAAGGUGGGACAAAUGAUUGGGGUGAAGUCGUAACAAGGUAGCCGUAUCGGAAGGUGCGGCUGGAUCACCUCCUUU
rnacentral:rRNA from 1 species